UCCAGCAUACUUGAGGUAAUAGUUGUCCCAUAUGCUGUUCUGAUCAGAUCACAUCUGAAGUACUGUAUUCAUUGUUGGCUUUCUCAUUUUAGGAAGGAUAUAAAUAAAUUAAAUUAUUACUCAAAGGACAUUUAUUAAGUGGCUACUUAUAGUUAAUAAGUAAUUACCAAAUAGAUUAAUAGAUAAACUAUUAAUGAUAAGACUGUUACAGGACUUCAAAAUCUGCUGGAAUCAUUGGAUUCUCCAACACAUAAAAAGACUUUUGCAGGACUUCAAAAACUUGGGGGUAUCAUUGGAUUCCCUGACAUGUGACGCAAUGGACAAUAGAUUGGUUUUGGACUAUCUCUUGGCUGCUGAAAAAGGCAAAGCAAACAAAAGAAAGCAAACAUAAUAGAGACAACCUGUUUUCCAGAACUAAGACUCAGCAUGCAAACUGUGCCCUGAGUUUGGAAUAACAACAAUUCUUUGUGCUUACCCUCUGGAUAAAUUUAGCCACAGAAAAAUCCCAGAAUUAUUUCAGAUCAGCACCAGCUGGUGCCUAAUAUUGGACAAACACCUGCAUAAAUCCCUGUUAUAUCAAACUUGUCUCAUUGUUGCUGUUACCCCUCAUUAUCAGCACUACAGCUCACUGUGUAGCCACUAGUAUAUGUAUUGAGAUUUGCCUAUACUAAAUUGGGUCAUAUGUCUAGUUUCCCUCCUCCAAUGGAAUAAAGAAAGGUUUUUGCUCAUGACCACUUUUAA